UGGGGAAUAUUGCACAAUGGGCGCAAGCCUGAAGCAGCCAUGCCGCGUGUAUGAAGAAGGCCUUCGGGUUGUAAAGUACUUUCAGCGGGGAGGAAGGGAGUAAAGUUAACACCUUUGCUCAUUGACGUUACCCGCAGAAGAAGCACCGGCUAACUCCGUGCCAGCAGCCGCGGUAAUACGGAGGGUGCAAGCGUUAAUCGGAAUUACUGGGCGUAAAGCGCACGCAGGCGGUUUGUUAAGUCAGAUGUGAAAUCCCCGGGCUCAACCUGGGAACUGCAUCUGAUACUGGCAAGCUUGAGUCUCGUAGAGGGGGGUAGAAUUCCAGGUGUAGCGGUGAAAUGCGUAGAGAUCUGGAGGAAUACCGGUGGCGAAGGCGGCCCCCUGGACGAAGACUGACGCUCAGGUGCGAAAGCGUGGGGAGCAAACAGG
rnacentral:rRNA from 1 species